rnacentral:lncRNA from 1 species
AUGAUCAGGCCACAAGAAAAUUAGGUAACAUUUUCCCCUACUGUGAUUUAUGGUUUAGUCCUAUGACAUAUAAAGAAAACAUAAGAAUGCAUGAAAUAUUCUGCAGCUGCCAGGUAGUUUUUAUUUUCCAAAACAUUCUUAUUGCUUGUUGUGCUAUGAACACUUGGCUCCUCUACAGUCGUUUUGCUGUUUAGUAUUAAAAUAAUGUGAUCCAAUUUUUCUUCUUGCCACCAUUUUCCAAAAGCCCUAAUUAUGCUUCACGGGAUAUUGUAAACAGAAUUUGUUGUUUUUUCUCAUUUGUCAAAGUGACAGCUGCUUAAAAUUCAUCAGCGUCCUUGCGUUGCUAUAAGGCUUAAGAAAUAGGAUAGUAAGUAGUCACGCUUUACUUUCUAUGCUAUUGUGGAAGAUACAUUUACUGAACACUUGGUUUUGUUUCUAAAUCAAUUUAAGCACCACAUUUUACCUCUCCCCGACUGCAGAAUGAGGUUGUGGGGAAUGAAAUGGAACAGUGAGCCAAUCAAAAGGCAGAAUACUGAAAAUGUCAAAGUACAGUGCAACAUGUGUCCUCAUUUUAUGGUUCUUGAAUUCCAUGGCUCAAAAAUCAUCGGAUCUGGCCCUGUCAUGCUUGGUGCAACACUGGGCAUCAACUGUCAGGCGGAAGAUACUCACAGACAGUGUUACAAAUCUGACCCUGAAGCUGCUAAGUGACACUCUCUGGAAGAGCUGCAUUGACAGCUUAAGGCCAGUUAGGUACCAAGUGACUGAAGUUUAUGACACCCUGAUGGAAUUGGCAUUGUUGAAUAAAACCGAGGCCGGAAUCCAGCACGAGGUGUAAAGCCUGGCAAACCAGAUCACCAACUUCAAAUUUCUCAAUUGUCUCAAUUGUAGUUUGGCAUGAUAUCCUGUUCCAAAUAAACUUUGCAAGCAAGGCA